rnacentral:rRNA from 1 species
GACGAACGCUGGCGGCGUGCUUAACACAUGCAAGUCGAACGGACUUACAUUGAAGCCUAGCGAUAUGUAAGUUAGUGGCGGACGGGUGAGUAACGCGUGGGUAACCUGCCUUGUACUGGGGGACAACAGUUGGAAACGACUGCUAAUACCGCAUAAGCGCACAGCUUCGCAUGAAGCAGUGUGAAAAACUCCGGUGGUACAAGAUGGACCCGCGUCUGAUUAGCUGGUUGGUGAGGUAACGGCCCACCAAGGCGACGAUCAGUAGCCGGCCUGAGAGGGUGAACGGCCACAUUGGGACUGAGACACGGCCCAAACUCCUACGGGAGGCAGCAGUGGGGAAUAUUGCACAAUGGGGGAAACCCUGAUGCAGCAACGCCGCGUGAGUGAAGAAGUAUUUCGGUAUGUAAAAGCUCUAUCAGCAGGAAAGAAAAUGACGGUACCUGACUAAGAAGCCCCGGCUAACUACGUG